rnacentral:rRNA from 1 species
AUGGAAACCGCCAAGACCGUCGCCCAUGCCCAGGUACGGCGGAUCCCAGAGGACCACCGCCUCCGAACCUGUCCCCACCGGACCUCCUUACUUCGCACCAAGUCUCAGCCGCGCAGUCGCCGUCCAGAUCCGCGCCCGCCGGUUACUGCGCCCUCGUCGGAGUGCUCGUCCCAAGUCCCGCUCCUGCCUCUGUUCGAGAGGUGGAGGUUGCAGUCGCGCAGCCGCGUUGACCACUCCUCUGCUUCCGCUCGUCCCGCGCGCCUCCUCGGCUUCGCGCGCAGCCCAGCUACCCAGCGCCUCCUCAUGCCCAAUUUAUGA